rnacentral:rRNA from 1 species
AGAGUUUGAUCCUGGCUCAGGACGAACGCUGGCGGCGUGCUUAACACAUGCAAGUCGAACGAGGUCCAUUCAGUAGCAAUACUGAUGAAGAUCUAGUGGCGAACGGGUGCGUAACACGUGAGGAACUUGUCCCGGUCUCUGGGAUAACAGUUGGAAACGACUGCUAAUACCGGAUGACGUCGGAACUUCGCAUGGAGUACUGACGAAAGGGUUACCGGAUCGGGAGAGCCUCGCGGCCUAUCAGCUUGUUGGUGGGGUAACGGCCUACCAAGGCAUCGACGGGUAGCUGGUCUGAGAGGAUGAUCAGCCACACUGGGACUGAGACACGGCCCAGACUCCUACGGGAGGCAGCAGUGGGGAAUCUUGCACAAUGGGCGAAAGCCUGAUGCAGCAACGCCGCGUGCGGGAAGAAGGCCCUCGGGUUGUAAACCGCUUUCAGAAGGAACGAAACUGACGGUACUUUCAGAAGAAGGUGCGGCCAACUACGUGCCAGCAGCCGCGGUGACACGUAGGCACCAAGCGCUGUCCGGAUUUAUUGGGCGUAAAGAGCUCGUAGGCGGUUCAGUAAGUCGGGUGUGAAAACUUUGGGCUUAACCCAAGGCGUGCAUCCGAUACUGCUGUGACUUGAGUUCGGUAGGGGAGUGGGGAAUUCCUAGUGUAGCGGUGAAAUGCGCAGAUAUUAGGAGGAACACCGGUGGCGAAGGCGCCACUCUGGGCCGAAACUGACGCUGAGGAGCGAAAGCAUGGGUAGCAAACAGGAUUAGAUACCCCCGUAGUCC